AUCAACGCUGGCGGCGCGCUUAACACAUGCAAGUCGCACGAGAAAGGGAGCAAUCCUGAGUAAAGUGGCGUACGGGUGAGUAACACGUGGAUAAUCCACCUCUUAGUGGGGAAUAACCCUGGGAAACCGGAGCUAAUACCGCAUAAGUCCGAGAGGAGAAAGCAGCAAUGCGCUGAGAGAGGAGUCCGCGGCCGAUUAGCUAGUUGGCGGGGUAAAAGCCCACCAAGGCGAAGAUCGGUAGCCGGCCUGAGAGGGCACACGGCCACACUGGCACUGAAACACGGGCCAGACUCCUACGGGAGGCAGCAGUGGGGAAUCUUGCACAAUGGGGGAAACCCUGAUGCAGCGACGCCGCGUGAGUGAUGACGCCCCUCGGGGUGUAAAGCUCUUUCGGCAGGAACGAUAAUGACGGUACCUGAAGAAGAAGCUGCGGCUAACUACGUGCCAGCCGCCGCGGUAAUU
rnacentral:rRNA from 1 species